UACGUAGGGUGCAAGCGUUAAUCGGAAUUACUGGGCGUAAAGCGUGCGCAGGCGGUUUUGUAAGUCAGAUGUGAAAUCCCCGGGCUUAACCUGGGAACUGCGUUUGAAACUACAAGGCUUGAGUGUGGCAGAGGGGGGUGGAAUUCCACGUGUAGCAGUGAAAUGCGUAGAGAUGUGGAGGAACACCGAUGGCGAAGGCAGCCCCCUGGGCUAACACUGACGCUCAUGCACGAAAGCGUGGGGAGCAAACAGG
rnacentral:rRNA from 1 species